AUCAUUAAUAUAUAACGAAGUUCUAUACAAAAUAGUUAAAUAAUUACAUCAUACGAAGACAACAAUCCAGCAACCAUAGUUGAAUGGGAGACAACGGCCAAGACCACUCACGAACUCAUCACUACAUCCUUCACGUGCCUCAUCUUGUGGUACCUGUUCUUGACCUAGGGGAUGUGAGUACAACAAGGGUGAGCUCACAUACGUUCAUCGCUCAACAAGUUGUGGGGAAUAAUGUGCAUGAACUCAAAAAAGGUGGGAACUCAUGUAAGUGUAAGGCUUACCAAAGGAGAUGGUUAAAGCUGAGCAUUGCUUUUAGUGUUCGUCAAAAUUGUAUUAGCAGUUACCUGGUAUAAGUAGAUACCAACCCAAUUAAAUAUGAGAUCACAAUUGAUAAUAACACCCACAAUGCAAUGCAAAUGACAAUUUGAGUUUAAUUCUAUAAGUUAACCAUGUGAGUGUCUGAGUCGCUCAUGCACGUGAGCAUGUCUGAUAUACCAGUUUUACACUCUGUAGAGGUUGCGCAUCUUUACCCACAAGUCGUGUUACCCAUUUGCCAUGGGGUUGAUCGGACCCCAUACACCUCUACCGAGGAAGAGAGGCAGGGUAGCACUACAAGGCCUUUCCAAAGUUCCGCUAGUUUGAGAAUACCCACUAUGAUUUUAGGACAAAGGAAGCAUAUGAAUCCCUCGUGCGAACUGCCAUCGCAGCAGUUUGACCCAAGAACCUCUCUAUACUCUGUAGCGACGCCUCCCUGAUUGCCCCUUUUGGGUAAGGUAAUCUCUUCCUAGCUUUCCUAAUUACUUGGCCAAGGGCGUCCCAUUCCACCAUUGUGGUAGCACUGUUUUCUCGAGUGGUUCACCAUGUUCCAAUUAACAUGAUGAUCUUAUCAAGAAUAACAAUUAAAACAACAACAUAAAUGGAAUAUGAUCAUAAUAAAACAAUAAUUUCCCAAAACCAGGUAGAGCAAUAGCAAAUCUACCCAAUAGUUCAUCUGUUUGCAAGGUGGGGGAUAAACAAUGCUAGUGAAACCUAUUAGGUCCCAUCAAAUUAACUUGAGCAUGUCACAGUGAUUAGCAGGAACAUUAUUAGGUAGAGAAGAAUGAUCAAGGGCACAACUUGCCUUAGACUUGAGAUCCCCAGGUACCAAAUUGGUCUUCAAGUGACUCGUAACCUCGCUACUACUUAUAGCAAUACAAACAAACAUGGUAUAGGAAAAAUUAACAUCACACCAAACAUAAGAACAUAUUGGAUAAUAAUGAUCUAUGCAUCAUAACUAGAUCUUAGGUUCGAGAACCACUAAAUUCAGAGUUACAGUUAUAAAGUUAUGAUUUUCCGAAGGUUUAAGUGGCUACUAUAAAGCAAAGGAGGUACACGAUUUUAAUCACAGGUUUCAUGGUAAUACAAGGUUACAAGUUGAUAAACAACAUUAAUGUGAAAUUAAUGCAACUAGAAUGGAUCAAAAAGAAGUUAAAAUGAGUUACUUAUGAAUUAAACAAGUUUCUGUAAUUAUUUUUAUACUAAAAACCAUUUUCUAUAUUACUUUACCUAAUUUAUUAAAUCCCUGGAUUGCACGCAUAAAUUCUGGAAAGUCUAGGGUUGAAUUCAUAAAAUCCAGGACAUAGUUGCAAUUACUUUCUAAUUGUUGUGGAUGGCGGGUUGAUUCAUACAAAUUCGGACGACUCUUUUGCAAAAGAUCAUGGCGAAGGGGUAUCGUUAAGUCCCGGCCGCUCGAUCAAGCACGAGCGGCGCGGAUUAGUUCCAAACUUCAUUGAACUGGUACACGAUCGUGAUCGUAGGAUCAAAGAUCGAUAGUCAUGAUUUGAGAUACCCAAGACCUAAUCCUACGCGUUCUCUGCAAGAUAUACGAGAUAAAUUUCUCCACCGUAACGCUAUCCUGGUAAUCUAAUCCCUGCCCUGCACCAAGGAUCCAACGGUCCUUGGCAUUCUAACCCACGACAGCUUCACACCCAGCCCACGGCGCCAACCCGAUCACGGCGCCCAUGGCCGGAGUUCACCAAUCCCCCCGCCCCCGCCCUAAACCCGAAUCCACGAACUAUUACAGAUUGCACUGGUAGAAAGAAGUUGCCCAGGGAGAUUCUCACCACGGAUUACAAGGUUUCAAGCUCCAGCAGUGACAAGAGGCGGAUUCACCGCGCAGGACCAACGCCGGCGAGAAUUGCCCGCGGUGGCUCCCCUUCUCUCCCCAUCGUGCUUCCUCUUGCCCACAACACGUCGGUUUCUGGCGAUGGUGAGAUGAGAGAAGGGAUACGACAUGGUUGGGAUUUAUAUACUGCGGUAGAGUCUGGUCAGGGGGAAACAUUUUGCGAGUGGAUCGGAAUUGCUCCGCCAAGCUCGCGCGCCAUUGAGGACGAACGAACUACAGUGGGGUCCCACGCGAUAGCAACACGGAUGCGCGAGAGAAAUUGGUCAGGCGACCGACAUCUGGGCCCCACCCG
rnacentral:lncRNA from 1 species